rnacentral:tRNA from 1 species
UCAGAGCGUGGCUGAGUCAGUUAGGUAUCUCACUUACACCGAGAAAACACCCAUGCAAAUUGGGUCGCUCUGA